rnacentral:rRNA from 1 species
GACGAGCCUCACAAACGUUAUUCGGAAUUACUGGGCUUAAAGGGUGCGUAGGCGGUGCGGAAAGUUGGGUGUGAAAUCCCUCGGCUCAACCGAGGAACUGCGCCCAAAACUACCGUACUUGAGGAAGAUAGAGGUAAGCGGAACUUACGGUGGAGCGGUGAAAUGCGUUGAUAUCGUAAGGAACACCCGUGGCGAAAGCGGCUUACUGGGUCUUUUCUGACGCUGAUGCACGAAAGCUAGGGGAGCAAACGGG